rnacentral:rRNA from 1 species
CGCCUGUUUAUCAAAAACAUCGCCUCUUGAUAAAACAAUAUAAGAGGUCCCGCCUGCCCAGUGACCACAUGUUCAACGGCCGCGGUACUUUGACCGUGCGAAGGUAGCGCAAUCACUUGUCUUUUAAAUGAAGACCUGUAUGAAUGGCACGACGAGGGCUUAACUGUCUCCUAUUUCUAGUCAAUGAAAUUGAUCCCCCCGUGCAGAAGCGGGGAUAACAUCAUAAGACGAGAAGACCCUGUGGAGCUUUAGACACUAAAUCAGCCCCUGUUAAACACCCCCCUCCAAAGGGCCAAACACUAUGGGCGCCCUGAUCUGAUGUCUUCGGUUGGGGCGACCCCGGGGAAAGAAAAAACCCCCGCGUGGAACAGGAGUAUUACACUCCCAAAACUGAGGGCCACCACUCAAAGUAUCAGAAAUUCUGACCAAUUACGUGAUCCAGCUUCACGCCGAUCAACGGACCAAGUUACCCCAGGGAUAACAGCGCAAUCCUCUUUUAGAGCCCAUAUCGACAAGAGGGUUUACGACCUCGAUGUUGGAUCAGGACAUCCUAAUGGUGCAGCCGCUAUUAAGGGUUCGUUUGUUCAACGAUUAAAGUCCUACGUGAUCUGAGUUCA